ensembl:lncRNA
CUGGGGACCGAACCCAGGGCCUUGAGCUUGCUAGGCAAGCGCUCUACCGCUGAACUAAAUCCCCAACCCCUGUUUUCCCUUUCUUACAUUAGCACCCCCCACACCCCCCCUCUCCCGGUGCUUAUGUGGCUGGGUGCCAGCUGGGAUUCACAGGCGCCUUGCUUUCUGAAGUCUCAGGAUGGAAAAUGACCAAAGUAGGUUCAGAUGCUGGCCAGCAGCCCAACUGUGGGCCAGGCUCUCUCCUAGAGGCCACCGGAGCGUGGCUUCCUGGGUUGGAGGAAAGUAUAUUCAGAACUGUUAGAGGCACUCCUGUCCAGGUCUAGACCCAGUGUCUAAGGCCAGCUAUCCCUUCAGUACUCCUGGCCUGACAUUUCGUGGAGUGCCUUCUGUAGCAUUUGACUAAUGGCAGCUUCCUUGGUACCUUUGUAUGGCCUACAUCUUUUGACCUCUUGCUGUGGUCCUGGGGCACUGUCAAUUUGGUGACUUGACUCUUUGAGCAAGAUCAGGGCCUUUCUGGAUGGACACCAGGAAGCUGCUAAGCACAUAGUGCCAGGUGCCCGCACACAGCAGCCCUGAGUCAGAACCCUCCUGGCCCCUACCACUGUCAGGCCGGAGCCAGAUGGCCCCUGCCGAGAAAACACAGAUAAAUGGGAGCUUGGACGGAAUGAGAUAGACAAAGCUUGUGGAAACUAAGCUUGAAUCCAGGUGCCCAGGGGCAGACAUGCCCUCUCCUUGCUAGCCCGGUGCUUGUCUGUACUCAAAGUUUAUCUCCAGAAACCCGUUAUCCCAGACUUGAAUGUGAGCACUUGCUGGGAAGCAUAUGCUCCAGCCUGGGCAACCCACACAUGCCCUUAGCUGUGGUAUCACUUGUGCUGCUGUCUGGGUCGGGAGAGGUACAAGUUAGCUUAGGCCCACCCAUCUCACCUCCUUAGCCACACCUACAGGCAGGUGCUCCCUGCCUGCUCUCCCCCCUCCCUCUGGAAGUCUUGGGUUAAGUGUGAUCAGUGGUCUGAAGGUAGAUCCCAGAGCUCCCUCAUCCUCAGAGGUCUCCCUCCCUUCAGUGUCCGCUCUUUGGACACCAUUGUUUCACCUGAUCCUUCAGGAAGUGCAGAGCUCAGAUCAUGUUUACAGCAUUCACUUUCCCCUUCCAUGCCGAGGGCUCUGGACCCGGGUUUGCUUUCCCUACUGGCCAGCCCCAGCCACUACUCUCACUGGGAUACUGAGACUUUCUGGGGCCUGAUACAGGAACCAGACAGAGUGGUAAGACGUGGCGAUCAGGAGGGUGGCGCCAAGUUGGCCUGAGAAUUUAAUUUUCCAAAGUACAUUACAAAUCAGAUGCCAUUAAGGGAAAGCAGGCCACGUGGCUCAGUUUUUGAAACUGUGGUCAAUACUUGAAGGCACUUUAGUCCUGCUGGCUGUGCCAGCUUCUUUUUCUGUGUAUCCCGAGUCAUUCCCUGGUCAGAGACGUUAAACCGUGCUCAUAAGCAGUUCUUCAGAAAAAAAGAAGCAGAAAAAGAGGCUGGAAGGAACCUGGUGUUUGCCCUGUUCUUUGGUUUAAAUCAAGCUGAUGUUGAAGCUGUAUUUUUUUUAUUAACAAUAAAACUCAUGUCUGUAUAGUAGAACCGUCAGUAGCUGUGUGAAUCAAGGAACGAGAGGACGUGCAGAAUCUUAACAGCCAGACAGUACUGUGUGCUGUGUGCCUAGGUUGUGCAUUGCACACAUAUGUGCAUUGCACACAUGAAUCAUGUCAGAGCUUCUAGGUCUCAUUUGGGUUGCACAUAUGGAUCUUGUGUAAACUUUCCACGUCAAUAAAUGAAUUUUAUUUUUUAUUUUUGAGAGGUUGC